rnacentral:tRNA from 1 species
GGGCGAUUAGCUCAGCUGGGAGAGCGCCUGCCUUACAAGCAGGGGGUCACUGGUUCGAGCCCGGUAUCGCCCACCA